UACAGGUGUGAGCCACUGGGUCUGGCCCUAUUUUUCUUUCUUAUAAUCAGACUUUACCUAUUUUCAGUUUCUAUUGACUUUUUGUUUUUGCCUUAAAUAUUAGCAACCUCCCCAGGGUUUAUAGCCAAGGAGGAGUGGGUGCCAUGGUGGUUCUACUGGAGACUACUUUGAGCAAUGUGGUUGUUGAUUUGUACACUGAGCAGCAGCCUAGCAACUUGCCAAGCAUCUAGAAGGUACUCGCCUGCUUUAAUUUUUUGAGAUUGUACAAAAUAAAAUAUUACAAUUAUUGCCUUAUUCACAGUGUACAAAAGGAUUUUGUCAUACAAACUGUUGAUCCUAUAGGGACUAGUCAUGGAGGAGAGUCUAUUUUUGGUCAAUUGUAUGGUGAUCAAGCAAGCUUUUUUGAGACAGAAAACGUCCCAAGAGUUAAACACAAGAAGAAAGGCACAAUGUCCUUGGUGAAUAAUGGCAGUGAUCAACAGGGAUCUCAGUUUCUUAUCACUACAGAAGAAAAUCUAGAUUACCUUGAUGGUACUAUACAGUAUUUGGUGAGGUGACAGAAGGCAUUGACACAAUUAAGAAAAUUAAUGAGACUUUUGUUGACAAGGACUUUGUACCAUAUCAGGAUAUCAGGAUAAAUUAUACAGUGAUUUUAGAUGAUCCGUUUUGAUGGCAUUCCUCAUUUAUUAAUCCCUGAUCUAUCACCAGAACCUACAAGGGAACAAUUAAAGAGUGGUAGAAUUGAUGCAGAUGAAGAAAUUGAUCAUUUCAAAGGAAGGUCAGCUGAAGAAAUAGAAGAAAUAAAGGCAGAAAAAGAAGCUAAAACUCAGGCUUUACUUUUAGAAUGGUAGGAGACCUACCUGAUGCAGAUAUUAAACCUACAGAAAAAUCUGCUGUGUUUGUAAAUUGAAUCCAGUGACUACAGAUGAAGAUCUGGAUAUAAUACUCUCUAGAUUUGGGCCAAUAAGAGGUUGUGAAGUUAUCUGGGACUGGAAGACAGGAGAAACCCUCUGUGAUAUGUAUGCUUUUAUUGAAUUUGAAAAGGAAGAAGACUGUGAGAAAGCCUUCUUAAAAAUGGACAGUGUACUUAUAGAUGACAGAAGAAAACAUGGAUUUUAGCCAGUCUGCUACAAAGGUUAAAUGGAAGGAAAAGGUGAGAAGUACAACAAGAGUGAUUUAAAGGAGUGUAAAAAGGAACAGGAUAAACCAUCUAAUUUGGUUCUGAAAGAUAAAGCCCAAACAGGAGGCAAAAUAUGCUGUUGUAUUAGAUGAGCAGGCAGAAGACUCAAAGUCAAGUCACUCACUUACAAGUAAAAAACACAAGAAGAAAACCCAUCACUGCUCUGAAGAAAAAGAAGAUGAAGACUGCAUACCUAUCAAAAAUACUAAUCCAGAUAAUUAUAGAGAAAGUUUGGAGUUUGGUCACUAUGAAGAAGAAGAAAGCUGUUGGGAGAAAUGAAAGAGUAAAAAGAGAGACUGAACUCAGAACCGAAGUCGUAGCUGAUCUCGAGAGAGGAAUGGCCAUUAUAAUAAUAGUCACAAAUCCAAAUACCAGACAUCUUUACGAAAGAGAAAGGAGGAAAAAGGGACUGAGGCAGAAGUCCAAAGAAAUCCAAAGAUAAAGAAAAAUCUAAGUACAGAUGAAAGAUGAAGAGGCAGAAUUGAGUGGCUAACAUAUUCACCCUUGUCUAACUUAGAGUGCCAGGAAAGCAGAUGUUCAGAUUUUGUGUCAAAGCUUGUCAUUUUUUUUCAUACUGGGAUUAUCGCCCUUUAAAUUAUUAAUACUGAUUAUAUAGGGCACUGAAGGAACUCAGCGUUUUCUUUGUAUACUUUUUUACAAUAAUUUUAUUGUUAUACAUAAAUGGUAGUCUUCAUUUUUGAAGUCUUUCACAUUUUUACUGUUUUUUUUAAAAAAUGAAGUAUUAUGUACUGCCAAAAUAUAUAAACAUGUACUUAUAAGGCAAAGGGAUAACAAAUACGAAUAUCUGUGUACUCAUCAGCCAGCUUAAGAUCUAGAAUAUUGCCUACACUUUAGACGUCCCAUAAGAACCCUGUCCCUCUCAAGUAAUUAUUUGGAAAUUUGUGUUGAUCAUUUGCUUUGUACAUAGGUAUCUCUUUGUAUGUUUCUCAGUUUUGUAUAGAUGGCAUAAUGUUUACUUUUGUGGCUUUCAUUUUUAUUGCUGUAUAGUAUUACAUGAAUGCUUCUGUUGAUGGACAUUUGAGUUUUAUUUAUUUUUGUUUUGGCUGUUGAAACAAUGCUGCUGUGAACAUUGUCUAUGUAGGAGUUACAGUGCUUGAUCAUGUGCUGAGUAUCUUCAUUUGUAUAAAAUAAUGUCAAAUUAUAAAAAAUAUUAGACUUAUAGCCUUUAAUUACUAUUCAGUUAUGUUAGCUAAUCUUUAGGACACUUACCCUGUUGUACUUUGUAUUAAAUGUGUGGUCAAAAAAUAAUGUGUUUAUGCAGAUAUUCCUGUUCAAUGAAAUACAUGUUGUAGUUAACUUCUUGGUAAAGCAAACAAUGUUAAAUGAA